GCAUGCAUGCGGCGUGCGGAUGGGCUCAUAAUCCUUUGGUCCACGGUUCGAGUCCGUGUGGGCCCACCA
rnacentral:tRNA from 1 species